CGGAGGAUGUACGGUGAAGAAUUUCGGUCAAUCAUGUGCAUCUUUAGUGGCGGACGGGUGAGUAACGCGUGGGUAACCUGCCUUACACAGGGGGAUAACACUUAGAAAUAGGUGCUAAUACCGCAUGAGCGCACAGGACCGCAUGGUCGAGUGUGAAAAACUGAGGUGGUGUAAGAUGGACCCGCGUCCGAUUAGCUGGUUGGUGAGGUAACGGCCCACCAAGGCGACGAUCAGUAGCCGGCCUGAGAGGGUGGACGGCCACAUUGGGACUGAGACACGGCCCAAACUCCUACGGGAGGCAGCAGUGGGGGAUAUUGGACAAUGGGGGGAACCCUGAUCCAGCGACGCCGCGUGAGUGAAGAAGUAUCUCGGUAUGUAAAGCUCUAUCAGCAGGGAAGAAGAAAUGACGGUACCUGAGUAAGAAGCCCCGGCUAACUACGUGCCAGCAGCCGCGGUAAUACGUAGGGGGCAAGCGUUAUCCGGAAUUACUGGGUGUAAAGGGAGCGUAGACGGUGAUGUAAGUCUGGGGUGAAAGGCGGGGGCCCAACCCCCGGACUGCUCUGGAAACUAUGUGACUGGAGUGCAGGAGAGGUGAGCGGAAUUCCUAGUGUAGCGGUGAAAUGCGUAGAUAUUAGGAGGAACACCAGUGGCGAAGGCGGCUCACUGGACUGUAACUGACGUUGAGGCUCGAAAGCGUGGGGAGCAAACAGGAUUAGAUACCCUGGU
rnacentral:rRNA from 1 species